rnacentral:tRNA from 1 species
AGCUCAGUAGGUAGAGCAGCAAACCAUGAAUGGCAGGUUCGAAUCCUGCACUAU